AAGAAGAGAGACCUGUUAUUCCUGAUUCACCUGCCCCACCACCCCCUGCCCUGCAGCCCAGAUUAGUCCUGGCAUGUCAACUAGCAGAGUGACAGUGACAAGUGCUUUCUAUGGUUUAAUUUCUCUCUCCCUCCUCUUUCACAUCUUUCUCUUCUUUCCCUUUCUCUUUCUUCUCUCCCUCUUUUUUCUCUUCUUCCUUCUCUUCUGUUUUAGUUUCUAUUUCCUUUCCUCUUUCUUUUCUGUUCUUUUCUUUUGGGGCAGGAUCUUUCUCUGUUGCCUGGGCUGGAGUGUAGUGGCAUGAUCUUGGCUCACUGUAGCCUUGACCUCCUGGGCUCAAGUGAUUCUCCCACAUCAGCCUCCUGAGUAGCUGGGACGACAGGUGCAUGCCACCAUGCCUGGCUAAUUUUUAAGUCAUAGUAUUUUGCUAUGUUGCCCAGGAUGGUCUUGAGUUUCUGGGCUCAAGCGAUCCUCCCACUUUGGAAUCCCAAAGUACUGGGAUUACAGGUGUGAGCCACCGCACUAGCCCUAUUAUUUUUAUUUUUAUUUUAUUUUUUUGAGACAGUGUCUUGCUCUGUCAUCAGGCUGAAGUGCAGUGGCACAAUCUAGGCUCACUGCAACUUCCACCUCCUGGGUUUAAGCAAUUCUUCUGCCUUAGCCUCCCGAGUAGCUGGGACCACAGGCGUGUGCCACCAUGCCCGGCUAAUUUUUGUAUUUUUAGUAGAGAGAGGGUUUCACCAUGUUGGCCAGGAUGGUCUUGAUCUCUUGACCUCGCGAUCCACCCGCCUUGACCUCCCAAAGUGUGGGGAUUAUAGGCAUGAGCGACUGCGCCCGACUAUUUUUUUUUAUUUUUAAGGAAAUACUGUCUUACAGACAGACUUCAAGAGCCUCUCCCACCUGCUCCAGGGCCUAGCUAGCUCCUAUGGCACCUCUGUGAGAAUUAGGACAAGGAAACCCCUCUAGAAGGAACUUGCUCUGUGGGUACAGGGUGUGGCUGGUUGAUGGUGCUUUCUAUGAACUAUUAAAGGCAUCUUUCCUUCUGUGGGCUAGGCUCAUACGAGGACAUGAGUUAGCUGUUGGAGCAAAGGCUGGACUUUAGCCCUUGCUUUCCUCCUUGUGCAGUGGGCCACCUGCACACCCAUAUAGGGCAGUCCUUCACCCCUUUUCCCUCUUCUUCCUCAAACUGAGGCACCAUUCCAUACUGAUGCCAUUGUGUAUCCCUCACAUCCACAUGUGUAUAUUUCCCCACUUUUCUCCCCUCCCUUUUCAGUUCCUUUCCCUUCUUUCUCCUCCUGUUCCCAGCACUCUCGGUCACAAGUCUUAUACACCAGGCUCUUUGCAUGCCUUUGUAUGUCUUUGUAUAAUAGGCUUAGAAUGUGUGUGCAUUAUUAUUGCUACAUGGGAUGGGUGUUCUCAUGGCAUUCUUUCAGGGAUUGGCACAUAAUAGAUGCUCAAGAUUGUGUGACUGGGUUGUAUGUCUAUUUGCAUCUCUCUGUGCAUCUUGGCACUCUGGCACUCCCCAGCCAUUCCCUUCCCAGAGCUUAGAAGGGAGAGGGAAUUAGUAGGGAAGUCCACAGGGCUGAGGGCUUGUCUCCUCAGUCUCUGCUGGUCUCUGCUCAGCCCAUGGUUCUUUCACCAUGAUACUCAGUCUUCCGUGGAGCCCUGAAAAGGGCAAAUCGAGGGCCACUCUUGCCCUGCCCUGCCCCAUGGGCCUGGAGGUGGGGCCCCCUCUGCUUCCCUCUCCAGGCCUCCUAAGGCCUCCAAGCCAGAGCUGGUAGGGGAGCGGUGAGGGGGGGUGCAGUGGGAGGAGGAGAGGGAGCCUGAGGAAGCUGGGCAGGGGCUGGCGGCCCCUGGGACCCCUUUCUACAAGGACAGAGGCGGCACCAGCUGCUCCACAGAAGAAAUAUUCCCCAAAGUCAGAGUGGUCGCCUCGUAUUUUAAGUGGCCCUUAUUUAUCACCGUCCUCCUGGGCUCCCUAUCGCUGCAAAUGAUGAUAAAAGACAGUGGUGAGGGGGGUGCGGGGGCUGCUCCCAGCUGGCCCUGCCGCACCAGGGGAGGCGCAGGCACACAGCAACACACGGGUACAGCAACACGUAUGCAAACGCAUCAACACACAUGCACAAUGACAUACACACACAGACGCAGACACAGACAUGCAGUACAUCCGUGCCAACAGCCACACACACACGCGCACACACGCACACACACAGUGACAUGCACACACAGACGCAGACACAGACAUGCAGUACGUCGGUGCUAACAGCCACACACACAUACACAGUGACAUGCACACACAGACACACAGACAUGCAGUAUGUCCGUGUCAACAGCCACACACACACACACACAGAGUGACAUGCACACACAGACACAGACAUGCAUUACGUCCGUGCCAACAGCCACACACACACACACACACACAGAGUGACAUGCACACACAGACUCAGCUGCAACAGUGACAUGCCCACAAAUGCUAAACAUAUUUGAUGCCAGGUGACACUCACAACUGUGAACAUACACAGAGCCUGAUACAGGUGCAGGGACACAUUCACUUGCACACACAUAUACCAAUAUGCAUGUAUAGUGAUAGACACAGACACAUAGCACACAUGUGACAAACAUGUCACUCACCAAAACAAGCAUGCACUCACCCCAGGCACUCACCCCAGGCACUCACACCUCAGUGUGCAAUACCCACUCCUCGAGCCAACUGUGCUGAUGUAUCCACCAUUUUCAGUGUGACUCUACGUGUGUCUGCCUCGGAUGACCUCUGCAUAGAGGCCACCGUCUCCAUGUGGCAUCCAGCUCAUAAGUGUGUACUUUACUCCAUCCAAACCUAGCCAAACACAUGGAUGUGCAAAUGCAUCCAUAGUCCAACCAAAAACACAGAACAUCAAACUUUACCUCUCACCAUCCAUGGAAAUUAACUCCAAAUAGAUCAGACCCAAAUGCCAGAUGUAAAACAAUACAACUUCUUAAAGAAAAUACGGGGAAGAUUUUUGGGAUCUUGAGGUAGGCAGAGAUUUUUUGGGUAGAACAUAGUCAUAGGCUGGAAUUGCAUAUCAUUGAGCACAAGCUCUGAAAUCAGAAACCCUCUCUUUGAUUCCUGUCUUACUAUAUAACUGGCUGCACUGACCUUGGGUAACUGACUUGCUUUCUCUGAGCUCAUGUGCCUUCUUGUACAAUGAAGGUAUAAUAUUGCCUACCUCUCUGGAUGCCUGUAAAGUCCAGAGAACUAAUGCAUGUGAAAUAGUUUUUAUUUUUUAUUUUUAUUGUUUUUGAGACAGGUUCUCACUCUGUCACCCAGGCUGGAGUUCAGUGGUGCAAUCUCAUUGCAACCUCUGCUUCCCAGGCUCAAGCUGUCCUCCCAUCUCAGCCUCCUGAGUAGCUGGAACUAUAGGCAUGUGCCACCAUGCUCAGCUAAUGUUUUAAUUUUUUUUUUGUAGAGAUGAGGUCUCAUUAUAUUGCUCAUGCUGGGCUCAUGUGAUCCUUCUGCUUUGGCCUCUCAAAGUGCUGGUAUGACAGGUGUGAUUAAUGGUGACUGGCCUGAAAUACCCUUUGAAAGUUGUGAUGUACUGUAUGAAGUUUGGCUAAGUAGAAAAAAAAGUUUUGUGUAUUUUAAUUAUUCACACACACCUAGGCAUACCUCUUAAAUAAGCAGUCCAUAACCCACGCACCUGCCUGCCUGCUCACUCAGGGGAGCUGGGGUUGGGGUGUAACACUGACCUUCCCCUUGUCCAGGGAAGUCUCCCUCCGCCCUAAUCCCAUACCCUUUCCACACCCAGUUGCCAAUCAGCCUUACUCCCCAGCCUCAGCCCGUUAGUAUGGCUCCCUGGGGGAAUCGAUUUUUUAAAGGUUAUUAGCAGAUUAUUGGUUCUUUAUUAACCUCAGGCCCAAAUCUCCAAUCUCCCAAUGAAGCUAUUGUCGCCUAAUACUAUGUACUCGAUAAUCUUGGCAUGAAGGUGGUGGAGGGCCUGGCGGGGUGGGGGGCAGCUGGGAGGAGGGAAGGGUUAACGGCACCACCCCAGCCUCCACCCUUUCAGUCCUCAAAUAGCUGAACUACUGUAUGUUGUAGUUUUCAACUGCAAAUCAUCUUUAAUAGCAGACAUCACGGGAUGGCUCAUUACAUUAAGCUAUUUUUCAUGCUAUCUCCUGUAAUAUCCUCUAAUCCAAUGCGUUUCAAAUCACCUCGGGCUAAAAUAAGAGACAUAGCGAUGUAAUAGCCUAGUGUAUUAGUGGGUUAAUUGCCCUGUUGUACUCUUUCUAGUAGCUAUCUCUGGAAUGACUUCUAUAUUAAUUGUAAAUUGCUUAAUACAUUUAACUCCUUGCCACCGCCCUAUCCCCUAACGAAGGCGGCCACUACCCAGUUGCUUGUGUGUGUGUAUGUGUUUUGUGGGCACUCCUUUCCAACUCUGGUUCCCCUCUGUCUCCUUGGCCCAUGCUGGAGGAGCAGGUUUGACAUACACUUCUCUGUCUAAUAAGGGGAAGGGAAUGAGACAUGCAUUUAUCGAACACUUAUUAUAUGCCAGGCCCUGGGCUAGGUCUUUUCACCAAAUGCGGUCUCACUGGCACCUCAAAGACCCUGAGUAGUGGCAGCAUUCAACCCAGAGGUCAUGCAACUUGUUCAAGGUCACAGAGCGAUGAUUUGAUGAAGCUGUGGUUACACCCAGACCCGAGGGCUCCUAGAACCACAGUAGUUGAGCGUGGGUCAGGACCUGGGGUUUUGGACAUUAGGUCAGAUGUGGUCAGCAGGGUCCUGGGGCAGCUCCUGGUCUGCAGGGAAGAGACACAGCCCUUGGCCUGUGGGAGUCCCCAGUCUGUUGGGAGAGACACAAGCCCUGCAUGAGGGGAGCUCCCAGUCUGAUGAGGGAGCUCCAGCCUCUAGCCUGGGGAGCCCCUAGUUUGAUGGGAAGAGAGAUCCUCUGCCAAGGGUAAGCUCAGCAAAUGGGGAACACAGCUCCUGUUCGGGGAGCACUCACCCUGACAGGAGGGAUCCAACCUUUGCUUUAGAGAGUCUCUGGUCUGAUGAGGAAAACAUCACUUCUGUCCUGGAGGAACCCUCAGUCAGAUGGAGGAGACACCGAUCCACACAGAGAAAAUGGAAAUGAGGUGCAAAUGCAUGAGAGGCAGGCAGAGUGAAUGCACAUGGCAGACAGUGAGCUCGGAGGAUGAGGCCAGAAUCGGCCCCACAGGCCGCAGGGCCAGACUGGGGGUCCUGCCUUGUUGGUUGCCUCUCUCCCUCCCUAGGUGUGUGGUCUCUGCGCUUCCCCGUGGCUGCCCCUCUCCCAGCCUGCAGAGGGAAGCCUAAGCCAGGGCCAGGGCAGUGAUAGAGACCUCCUCCUCUUGGUGCUGAUAGCCCCCAGCUGGCUCCCCCUUUUCCACAGAAGCCUCCAGUGGCCUGUGAAACUGGAGCCUGGGGCCUCUCCUACAGGCUCCAGUUUGCGUCAGGUGUCCAUACUCUGGACAGGUGACAAGUGGGGGAUAGGAAGGAGAAACAUCAGGGAGAGAGAAAGAGCUGAAGGAUGAGUAUAGGGCCUGAUGAAAGGGUGUCAAAAUCACAGGUCACAGGCAUGGGCGAGUGUUUACCUUCUACGUAGUAGUACUUUACACACACACACUUAUGCACACACGUGCAUACACAGAUGCACGUACACACGUGUGAACACACUAGUGCACACACAGGCAUACUGUACACGCACGCACGUGCACACAAGUACACGCUCAUGCACACAUGCAUGUGUGUAUACACACAGGUACGCAUGCACAUGCACGCACAUGCACGCACACACACAAGCACCCACACAACGCACUCAUGUAUACACACACGCACACGCAGGCACACACGUACACGCAUGCGCACAUAUCCGCAUGCACAUACAGGUAAACACACACGCACAAGCGCGCGCACACACGAUGCAUUCUGCGUGCGUCAUACGGGAGUCACAGGAUUGGAAACUCCUGAACUGCUUUCUCAGGGCGUCUAGCUGGGCAGAGGGACCCAAGUUCAAAGUUGCCUCACGGAGCCUUCUUCCUUCAGGGGCGGUCCUGACUGACCUCAGUCUGGAACAGAAGCGGGCCUUAGAGGCUCUCGAUGAGUUUGCGCCCGGGUCUGUGGCCUCCUUUCUCCCUGAGCUAAGUCCUUGGGCCAAAAAACAAGAAAGAAGGAAAGAGGAAGGGAGGGAAGGGACGUACCGGCGGAGGGCGCAGCGGGCGGCUUGCGGAGCCGUCCUGGCUCGGGGUGGGGGCUCGGCCAGAGUCCCCGCGGCGGUUCUGCGGCUGCCGGCUCGGGAGCAACCUUGAGCGCGGCCACGGAGACAGUGAUUUAGGUGCUGGCACCGGAGCGUGAAGGAACUCAUGAUUGCUGAAGGAAGAUGGGCAUGUACACAGACAGUGUCAGGAGGGAACAGGGCUCGUGAAACAGGUGUCCUUCAGCCUGGGACACCUGAAGGCAAGUGAGAAGCCACAGGGGAUGAUGGACUGAUGCCUUCCCUGCUUCUACACACGAGAGUUCUUCCUCUGAUGAGCCCCUCUGCCUCUGCUCUGGUUUGGAUGACACCGCCCCCACCCCCUGGGGCUCCCAUCUCAUAAUGGAUGCAGUACCUUCUUCUCCAGUCCACACAUCUUCAUUGUACCAACUCAUGACCACUUUUGGACACAAUAAUGCCCAAAAGUGGUCAUGAGAGCAGAGAGAGCAGUGUAGGUUUGAGAGUGUUCAAUGGAAAGAGAUCAAGCUGAGAUUUCCCAAGAGCUCUCACUCAAAACUGGCAGGCCAGCUGUUAAAUUACUAUGGUAAGGAGAGAAGGAAAGGAAGAGAGAGGAAAGAAGGAGAAGAAAAGACAAUAGAGAGAGAAAAAGGAAGGAAAGAAAGAGGAAGGAAGGAAAAGAAAUAAAAGAAAGGAGAAAGAAGUAGAAGUUGGGUGAAGAGCAUGAAGAGGGAGUAAGGAAAAGGGGAAAAUAAAAGAGAAUGGGAAUAAGACAGAAAGGAAUCCAGGAGAAAUAAGGAAAGAGAAAAAGGGAAGGAAGGAGGCCAAAGAGGCUGGGGAGGGUAUGGGGGUGGGGAGGGAGAGUCAGCUCCACUCUGGCAAGGGGUGGGAGAUUGAAGGCUGAAUCGCAGCAGGCAGUGGAGGAGAGGAAUAAGUCAUAAACGCUGCAGGGGCAAAGGUCAAAUAUAGACUGAUGGCUCCAUUGUUUCCCAGCUGGUGAGGAGGACCCUGUUGGGGGCUGCUGAAAUGCUUAAACCCUUCCCUGUCCAGCCCUUUAAUGGUGAGGCAGGUGUGGGGAUGCAGAGUGAGAAAAAGCCCCUGUGGGUCCAGGGUGAAGAUUAGGGCAUUAGAGUUGGAACUGGACAUGGGACAGGGUGGGUACUGGGUCUUGGAAGAAGGGACUCCAAAGUCUUCUCCACUUCAACUCAUAGGAGGUAGAAUAAAGAAAACAUGCCACCUCUCUUUUUCUAAUAGUAGUAGUCCUCUUUUGCAUCUCUGUAGAGAUUUCCCAGGGAAGAAAGAAGUUCUUGGGAAAUGGUUGAGUAACACUAUCAACAACAAUAAUAAAUAGUAUUAACAAUAUAAAUGAAUGUUUACUAAGGAAUAAAAUAAAAUUCAUAUUAAUUAAUAUUUAUCAACCAUUAAUACAUGCUCUUAUGUACAGUGCUUAUGGGUUUAAAAAUAACUUUAACAAACAUGUUAUUACAUCUAACAAUCCUGUGUGAUAGGUAUUAUCAGCACCAUUUCAUCAGUGAAGAAAUUGAUGCUCAGACUUGUCCAAAUUGUGCCAGUUAGCAGCUUUCUGAAUCCUGAUCCACAGAUCUUUGUACUACCCAGAAUUUUCCUUGGGCAGUAUCAUACUCACCAUAGAGGAAGAACAGAGACUUUCAGGAAGUGUUUGGUAUGACAUGACACUUGCCAGUUGAGAAAGCCAGAUGUAGUUAGAGAGGGGGUGAGAGGAUUAUGUCCAUCUGUGGGACAUGUCUUCAGCACCACGAACAGUUCUCAUACCACCUUUUCCCCAUCCCCUCUUCGCCAGACUAUGAAGCCUAGGAUGGGUGGGGAGGUGGUGCAGGGGGAAUACCACCAGACUCCUUAAGCCCUCCCCAGGGGAGAGGUGGAGGGGCUGGGGGACGGGAUGUCUACUCCUUGUGGGCUGUAACUCCACCCCCCACCCCAUGAUGUAUAGACUGACAAAGGACUUAAUGCUGUGAAUACAUAAAGCGGCGGAGGCCUGGGCGGUGGAGGGUGACAGCUGCCCUUUAAUGCUUGGCUUUUUAAAGAUCAUGGUAGAGUUCAGAAAGUAUAGUCAUGAGGUUUAAUGAUUUAAUGGGGACGACUGGGGAGCAAAAUAGUUACUGCACCCUGGGGAAAAGUGACUCCUCAUACAUAUUACUUUAGCCUAAUGGCCUAUAACGCCCUCCCCUCGUGCCCGCGGGGGGAGUCACGCUACAUAGCCGCUGUAAUACCGAAUGGCCUGAUUAAAUGCAUAUUAAACAAUACUAAAUUGAGGAAAAAAAGGCGGAGGCAGUGCUAAAUCUAUUUAUUCUGUGAGGGGAAGAUAUGACUCCUCUGGUAGUGGAUGGAAGAAGUCCUGCCUAGCCAGUUCCCCAAAAGAUGUGGUGUCCCAGUGAGAUUUAGAGAGAGGUAGAAACCUCAUUUCUUUGAGAAGAACUUACGGGGGAAGGCAACUCCAAAAUUGAAGGGAAAUGCUAGACAACCAAGGAUCUGGAAUGCCAGGAGUAAGAAGGGUCCACAAGAUCUACUGUCCCAAGAGGCCCCAGUGAUUCCCAGCUUGGAGUUCUGCCCACAGAUGUAUGUGUGGUUUGAUUCUAAUCAGUCAUUUUUGAGACUUUUCUGUAAAUCCAGGGGCCACUUUGAGAUUCUUGGGUCCACUGUACUGGUCUCAUUACCUGUAAACCACUCCCCUCCCUCAACAUGACCCUGGUCAUCAGUUUCUAAGAUCACUGAUGAGGCUACAAUGAGAAUGAAGCCUUAGAUCUUCAAUGCACCUGGGUUCUAUAGACCACAAAUGCAUGCUAGAAUCACCUGGGUAGGUUUUUUUAAAGUGCCAGUGUCUGAAUUAUUCUCCUCAAGAGAUUCUGAUUCACUUGGCUUGGGGUGUGUCCCAGGUGUUGGUAUUUUUUAAAAGCUACCCAGGUAGUCCAAUGUGGAUCCAAAGUUGAGAAUCACUUUAGUAGAGUGUCAGAGCUUGGAGAGACUUUGGAAAGCACCCAGUUUAAGUUUUUUGUUUCAGAGAUGAGGAGUUGAGGCUUAGAGAGGUCAUGACUUCUCCAAGAUCCAUAGGAAUAGACUGGACUCGACUCCCAACCCUGUCUUCUUUCCAUUGCACUCCUUCCUUUUUUAUGGUAGAAUGAACAGGGCCAGAUCAGAGCCAGUGACUAUGAAACAUCAGAAUCCUGGCUCUGUAGCUUCCUAUCUCAGACCCAGGCAGACCCAAGAUGGCAACUUUUUCCGUGGACUUAAGUAGAGGGAUUCUUUGGUCACUCAACUUUGCCUGAGAUGCCAACACAUGUGUUUUUCUGACCCCAAGAACCUUCCAGACAACCUCUCUGGCCCCUAAUCCUUUAGGCUCUGGCUGACCUAUGGCCUCCUAUAGUGAAGCAUUUAAGAGCAUGGGCUCUGUAGCCAAGCUACUUGGAUUUAAGCUUGGACCUGCCACUUAUUACCAGUAUAACUUUGGAGAAGUUAGUUAACACCCAGGCAUUUCAGUUUUCUUAUCUGUAAAAGGGAUAUAAUAACAGCACUUACUUUGUAAGACUGAUAUAAGGAUGAAAUGAGUUAAUAUAUGUAAAAGUACUGAAAACAAUGUCUAACAUGUAGUAAUUGCCAUGUAAGUGAUAACUAUUUUUGAUUUAACAUUUUAAAUGUGCCUUUCUAUUAAAGAUUGCAAUGCAUUAAGUUGUUCAAUAUAUUAUAUUUGCCUUCCAACUCCAAAAUCUUUAAGGAUAGAUUCUAGGGUCUAUACUCAGAGACUUUGGUUCUCUCAGAUCCUGAGAGAUCCAGGUAAGUUCAGACACUGCCUUCCACAAAGUGGAGGAGAAAAAGCUUGGAUAGAAGAGGGUAACAGGAGCAAGGUUAUGUAGAAGCUCAGCUCCAGGAGAGUGCCAAGAUGAAGGUUCUACCUGUCCUCUGGGGAUGUUUGAAAUGCUUAAAGAUACCUAAGUUGGUGGUGAUGGCUGCUAGACCCCAAAAACGCCCACUGGCAAGUAAAAUUAAACAGAAAGGAGUCCUGUUUCUAGUUUCCUCAUGGGAAUAGUGGUGGUGCAUGAGUGCCCAUUCACCUUUUUACAUACUCACAGCUUGGCUUUGUUGAGGCACAAUCUGAUUUCCAAACUGAGUUUCCUGUUUUCUUAGCCACUGACUGGGAUGCAGUGGGACAGUCCCCCAAAUCAUCCAAGACAUGGGAAGUCCAUAGUACUCUUCCCUGUUCCUGGCAUGCACCUGUCCAUGCGUCCUGGGGAGAAUGAGACAGGAGUAUGGACUUCAAGGAGGCACCAUCUUCUCAUACUAGUUUCUGAACUUUUAGAUGCUGACAUAUAGGACUGUGCAAGAGUAGCCUUCCCAACAUCAUCACCAAUGACUACCCUUCGCAAACCUUCUGUCCUGGAAUACAGCCCUACUGUCCCCAAUUCGUGUUGCUCCUUUUGACACUCCAGUCUUGACCUAUCCUACUUUCUUCAUCUGAAUUGCCUUUCUCCAUUAUUCUGUGUCCAACUUAUGCCCAUCCUUCAAAGCCCAGGUUAAGAGCCAUCACCCUCUAGCAAGUGCCCUCUGAUUCACCCAAUGAAAUGGUUUUCUCUCUGUCUUGAGAACUUUACAGUCUUUUUAGUUCCCUUCCUUACUGACCUGAUCACAAACUGCCUUGUACCACCAUUACCUGGGCUCCUCAUGGCUCAACCACUAAACUCUAAGCUUCUGAAAGAACCAUGUGCCCCACACUCUACAGUCUAACACCAGGCUUGCCCAGAGUCUAUGUAUUGUCGAACAGAUAGGUGGAGGGUUGAGUGAACGAGGAAUAUCCUCACCUACUCUGAAGACCAAAACCUCACAUUAAGUAAAAAGCAACAGUUAGGCUUCUCCAGACCCAAGCAGAAAAACUUAAAAGGGCUAGAAACAUACCACUAGAGGAGUUAGUGGCAGAACCCCUCAGCUCCAACCGCAGACCCUCUGCUUGGAGGAGUAGGGAGGGAGGGAAAACUGUGAUUGAUUUCUCCUUUCUGUUCCACCAGAUACCCCUCCACACACUCACACACAGUAUCACACACAUAGUCCUCACUGCCUACUCUCCUCCUUUC